AACGAACGCUGGCGGCAUGCCUAACACAUGCAAGUCGAACGAGACCUCCGGGUCUAGUGGCGCACGGGCGCGUAACGCGUGGGAACCUGCCCUUAGGCUCGGAAUAACUCCCCGACAGGGGUGCUAAUACUGGAUAAUGUCUUCGGAUCAAGGAUUUAUCGCCUUUGGAUGGGCGGGGGUUGGAUUAGAUAGUUGGUAGGGUAAAAGCCUACCAAGGCGACGAUUCAUCGCUGGCCUGGGAGGGGAGUCAGCCACCCGGGGACUGAGACACGGCCCACACAGCUAUGGGAGGCAACGGUGGGGAAUAUGAAACAGUGGGCGAGAGCGUAGUCAAACAGUGCCGCGUGAGUUAUGAAGGUCUUAUGGUUGUAGAACUCUUUUUCCCGGGAUAAUAAUGACAGUACCAGAUGAAUAAGCUCCGGCUAACUCCGUG
rnacentral:rRNA from 1 species